UACGAAGGGGGCUAGCGUUGCUCGGAAUCACUGGGCGUAAAGGGUGCGUAGGCGGGUCUUUAAGUCAGGGGUGAAAUCCUGGAGCUCAACUCCAGAACUGCCUUUGAUACUGAGGAUCUUGAGUUCGGGAGAGGUGAGUGGAACUGCGAGUGUAGAGGUGAAAUUCGUAGAUAUUCGCAAGAACACCAGUGGCGAAGGCGGCUCUCUGGUCUGUAACUGACGCUGAGGCGCGAAAGCGUGGGGAGCGAACAGG
rnacentral:rRNA from 1 species